rnacentral:rRNA from 1 species
AUACGGAGGGUGCAAGCGUUAAUCGGAAUUACUGGGCGUAAAGCGCGCGUAGGCGGCUUGGCAAGUCGGAUGUGAAAUCCCGGGGCCCAACCCCGGAACUGCAUUCGAUACUGUCUCGCUAGAGUCCCGGAGAGGAAGGCAGAAUUCCCGGUGUAGAGGUGAAAUUCGUAGAUAUCGGAAGGAACACCAGUGGCGAAGGCGACUUCCUGGGCCAAUACUGACGCUGAGGUGCGAAAGCGUGGGGAGCAAACAGGAUUAGAAACCCCGGUAGUCC